UGUGGAGGAACUUCUAACAAGGAAGUUGUUGUAUAAUUUUUUGUGUGUUGUUCGAAUUUAUUUAAGUAAGGUUGAUCAAAUAUCUUAGGUUUCUUAAUGCACACUUUGGUUGGAGAGCCUUGACUGGAAAUAGUUCUUAUAUUAAUGUUAUUAGAAUUCAGACACAACCAGUUCACUAAAAUAGGAUAACUUACAAAGCUUCGAUGUCUUGCACUUUAGCAGAAGGAUGGCAAAAGAAACUGAUGAAAGUGUUUACCAGCCUCGCUAUUUUAAAUGUGGCGUAUGGGAAAGAUAUUUCAAAUAUAGGACCCAACGAAACAACAACAGAUAGUACAAACAGUACAGGCAUGUGAACCAACCCCAGCUGAGCCAUCAAUUUUUGACGUCAUCAAGCGGAUACAGCCUUACGUCAUUUCCGCUGGAGUUGGAAUAUUGUUUCUACUUUUGAUCAUCAAUCUAAUAUCUGUCAUACA